GUGGGCCCUCGAAAUCCUCUGGCGGGGGGAUUCAGUUAGGAAAGGCGGAGGUGUGGUUCGGUCGAUUCCAACGGACCCUACCCGGGGCCGGGCCGACUACACGGUCUCCGUUUUACCUGACGCAUUUCCUCCCGCACUAAGGACGCCGCAGCCGGUUGGGUAGCUGCGUGAGUCGGCCAUGAGGACGGGUGCCGGCAGGUGGCCGGUGGCGUUGCUUCGGCUUCGCCGCCGGUUGUUAGCCAAUCCGUCCGUGGCGCGACACCCGACCGAGGUUGAAUGGUUCCCGUAUGGGAACUCGCCGUCCCCUGUCUCCUUCCGGGGAGGCAGUGGGUGCUCUGGCAGGCGUAUCGCGGUGUUGCCACGUCACUCUUCGUAGUGUCCGGUGCUCCGAGGUCGCUGUUGGCUGGAAGCGUCCCGCGGGGGUGCAGGCGGCUAGCGGCGAGUAGGUCGGUCACCCACCCGACCCGUCUUGAAACACGGACCAAGGAGUCUAACAUGUGCGCGAGUCACGGGGUCUUGAUUAGGCCCAGAGGCGCAAUGAAAGUGAAUGUCGACCUCGACGUCGGCUGUGUUGGGAUUUUCCGUCCCUCGGGACGGGGAAGCACCAACGACCCGUCCUAUCCGAUUUAUCGGUUGGGCGGAGUCUGAGCGUACACGUUGGGACCCGAAAGAUGGUGAACUAUGCCUGGGCAGGACGAAGCCAGAGGAAACUCUGGUGGAGGUCCGUAGCGGUUCUGACGUGCAAAUCGAUCGUCAGACCCGGGUAUAGG
rnacentral:rRNA from 1 species